ensembl:lncRNA
UUGCUAUGCGGUCGUUAGAGUGUGGUGGUGGAUGGUUGCUAGGUUGUUGUUGUUUGGCUGCUAGAACAUUGUGGGUGGUUGCUAGGCUGUUACUAUGCAGCUGCUAGAAUGUUGUGGAUUGUUGCAAAGCUGUUUUUAUGUAGCAGUUAUUAGAAUGUUGUGGGUGGUUGCUAGGCUGUUGUUAUUUGGUUGCUAAAACAUUAUGGGUGGUUGUUACGCUGUUGCUAUGUGGCUGCUAGACUGUUUUUAUGUGUCUGCUAAAAUGUUGUGGGUUGUUGCUAGGCUGUUGUUGUACGACUGCUAUAAUGUUGUUUUGGAUAGUUGCUAUGCGGUCGUUGGAGUGUGGUGGGUGGAUGGUUGCUAGGUUGUUGUUGUUUGGCUGCUAGAACAUUGUGGGUGGUUGCUAGGCUGUUGUUAUUUGGUUGCUAGAACAUUAUGGGUGGUUGUUAGACUGUUAUUAUGCGUCUGCUAGAAUGUUGUGGGUUGUUGCUAGGCUGUUGUUGUAUGACUGCUAUAAUGUUUUGGAUAGUUGCUAGGAUGUUGCUAUGCGGCCGUUAGAGUGUGGUGGAUGGUUGCUAGGUUGUUGUUGUUUGGCUGCUAGAACAUUGUGGGUGGUUGCUAGGCUGUUACUAUGCAGCUGCUAGAAUGUUGUGGGCUGUUGCAAAACUGUUGCUAUGUGGCAGUUACUAGAAUGUUGUGGAUGGUUGCUAGGCUGUUGUUAUUUGGCUGAAAAUGAAACAGGUGAAAAUGUAAGUCUGAUCACUUAGAGUACCAGCACACUCUUCUCAAAGAUAAUAAAAAAUGGCAAGAAAAGCGAUUUAUGUUCUGUCUUUCGCUCACUUUAUGUCACUUGUUUUGUGCCUCCUCCUCUUUCUAUCGUUCAGAGUGUCUGACCAGAGCGCCUGUUGUAACACUUUAAUAGUGCUGAAUAAAAAUUAUGAGCUGGAACAGUAGGAGUGUGUGUGUUCAGUAGGUUGCCUUUAAUUGCCUGGUGUUCUAAUUCCACUCCAAGAGACUUUUAUAAAGAGAGAGAGAGAGAGCGAGAGAGAGAGACCUUCAAACGACCUUCUUAAUCAAUUGAAAGCCAACAGCA